rfam:Oryza nivara chromosome 10, whole genome shotgun sequence.
GACUCAAUGAUGAUGCAUUUUUAUACUUUUGUUCUUCUGAAGUUACAAACUUGCAAUGUGGAAGAACAAUUUGGGGACCAGAACUGAUGGGGU